UACAGAGGUCCCAAGCGUUGUUCGGAUUCACUGGGCGUAAAGGGUGCGUAGGUGGUGGGGUAAGUCGGAUGUGAAAGCUCGGAGCUCAACUCCGAAAUGGCAUUGGAAACUACCCUGCUAGAGGAUUGGAGUGGGGACUGGAAUACUUGGUGUAGCAGUGAAAUGCGUAGAUAUCAAGUGGAACACCAGUGGCGAAGGCGAGUCCCUGGACAAUUCCUGACACUGAGGCACGAAAGCUAGGGGAGCAAACAGG
rnacentral:rRNA from 1 species